rnacentral:tRNA from 1 species
GCCUGGGUGGCUCAGUCGGUUGAGCGUCCGACUUCAGCUCAGGUCAUGAUCUCACGGUUCGUGAGUUCGAGCCCCGCAUCAGGCU